GACGAACGCUGGCGGCGUGCCUAACACAUGCAAGUCGAGCGAGUGAAUCUCCUUCGGGAGUGAAGCUAGCGGCGGACGGGUGAGUAACACGUGGGCAACCUGCCUCAUAGAGGGGAAUAGCCUUCCGAAAGGAAGAUUAAUACCGCAUAAGAUUGUAGCUUCGCAUGAAGUAGCAAUUAAAGGAGCAAUCCGCUAUGAGAUGGGCCCGCGGCGCAUUAGCUAGUUGGUGAGGUAACGGCUCACCAAGGCGACGAUGCGUAGCCGACCUGAGAGGGUGAUCGGCCACAUUGGGACUGAGACACGGCCCAGACUCCUACGGGAGGCAGCAGUGGGGAAUAUUGCACAAUGGGGGAAACCCUGAUGCAGCAACGCCGCGUGAGUGAUGACGGCCUUCGGGUUGUAAAGCUCUUUCAGCCGGAAAGAAAUCGCGCAGGAUAAUACUCUGCGUGGAUGACGGUACCGGAAGAAGAAGCACCGGCUAACUACGUG
rnacentral:rRNA from 1 species